rnacentral:lncRNA from 1 species
GUUCCAGCCCCCUCCCUUGUGACCUUUGGAUGCUUCACAGUCCAGCUCUGAACCUGCUUUCAAAUGGAGAAAGUCUGCCAUACUCUCUGGAACAGAGAGAGAGAGACAGAGAAAGAGAGAAAGAAAGAAAGAAAACCAGUUCCAGCUCUCCCUCCCUGUGUGGUCCAGGCCGCAAACACCUGGUUCAGGGACUACCUUGCGAAAGGAAAAGCCAAUUUACCAUUAAACAUUCAAUAAAGAAAAGACAACAAAGAAAAUCCUCUUGUAAUCACAUUGCAUGCUCAAGACACCUUUCAUGGGAAGGUCUUUGGAGAGUUAUUUUAGUAGCUGAAUUUUCAUCACAACAGCACCUACAAUUGUCAAGUACCCACAACCAAUGACUCUUCAUGAGGGCUCUGGAAGCACCAGCUUCUAUUCUUCAUAGGUGGCAAAGUUCAGAAACGAAAAUCGGCACUGACAAAGCAUGGCGUUCCUUCCUAUAAGCCUCCUGCGGAUUCAUCCUACUUUAGGUAGGAAGUUAACCUGACUUCCAGGUCACAAACAUUAGCAUGCAUGGGGAUCGUUAGUAGAAAAAGGAAAAAGAUAUGAGCCAGCC